GACCCCCUGGUGCACACCACUGGCUUUGUUCUUAUACUGACUAUAGAAAAAGGAAGCAAAGAAAAUCUAUUCCAUAGAUACCUCAACCCUGUGCCUGGUCUGUAUUGUAAAUGGGGAAAGAGAA
rnacentral:snoRNA from 1 species